UGUCCCCUCCUCCCACUCUGCUGCGCCCGCCCGGGAGCUGGCAGUGCUCACAGAACUGCUGUGAGUGGGCCAGGCAGAUAGGAACCGUGCCAAGGCCUUCUGGUUGACCUGGGAAGAGUAAAAAUGUUGAGCUCAGGAUGGAAUUAAAAAAAAAACCUAGUUGGAGGAAGUUCUGAGGGAUCAGGCAGAGAGGUCUGAGAGCUCGGCGGCACCGCCAGAAAUAGCUCCAAAAACGGGGCUGGCGCUGAGAAAACCUUCAGAGCUCUGUGGCUGCUGCUGCAGGGGGGGCAGGGGGGGACAGGAGCACUGUGAUGCCACAGCUCAUGGUGAGGGCUCAGUCUGCCUUGAGGAAUUCACCUAUUUAACAUCCUGCAUGUUUAAAGGUCAACUUGCAUUUGGAGGUCGACUUGCUUUUGUUGGCUUGUCUUUGGGUGGGCUCAAAAGGUGUUUGCAUCCACUUUAAAAGAACCAACACCAUAAGCAAAUCAAACACAAUCUUCACAGGAAAUUUUGACAUAAUGACUGUGACUCAGCUUAUUAAUAUUAGCGGUGUUAUGUCACUGUUGGUCUCAAUGCUUUCUCCUUUUCUUGCCUUGUGAGUGUGCUGCUGGGCAUUGAUGGAGAGAAAAGAAUUGUCAGGUACGAAGGUGAAAACCCAAAUGUUCCAAAUACAGCAUAAGAAGGGUCUCCACUGAGCCCCACUCUGGGAGCAGUCACCUGCCAUGGUGCUGCUUAAAACCAAAACAGGGCCUCAGGAGUCAGGGGUGCAUCCCCUGGGAACGGCCUCACCAGUGGUCAGGAACAGCCAGGGAGCAGCUCCAAGAUUUAAUUGAAACUUAAAUGGUUUGUGUUAUGAGCAAUGUAGUCUGGGUAAGGACUGCAGCCACAGAAGUGGGGUCAGAAAGUGCAAAAAUUACACAGAAAAUUCAUGGCUUGGUGAUGGCUGGGAUGGACAUAAGUCAUGGUCAGGCUGAGCAAAAAUUAAAUAUAUCUGCUCAUUUAAGCAAGGCAGAAGUUCUUUGUGUUGUUGAUUUUAUUUUUUCUUAACAAACACAACUGAAACGUUUUAUUUUGAUUUUAUAUUUCUGUGGGGUGAUUUUGGCAAAAUUCAAAUGAACUUGUGGGAAAUUCCCUUUUAAUCUAACUCGUAUUUUCUGAGACAAAAACGCUGAGAUGAGACAGUUCCAUACACCUCCUAUUUCAACGUUUGUUUGAGUUAUUUGAGACAAACUAUGCUCUGCACAUUCAGGUAUUUGAUUCCAUCUUUCAUGAUGUAACUGAGUGAUUCCUGCGUGUUUUCACGGCCAGGCACCAGCACUGGUGGGUACGAGGUGCAGGUGACAGAAGCCAUGAGAGCAAUGCCAGUUUAUAUGACUUUCCAGUAGGUACCUAAACAAGUAGGACUGUCAGCAGCCAUCCCUGAUGUCCAGUAACAUGGUCUGAAGCCCUGUAAAUGCAGGAUGAGUGUGCAGCCCUUCCCAGGGUGACACGCGUCGAUCCUAGCGGAGCGGGGCUGCCUGGGAAGUGAUCCAGCUCCUGCAGGAGCUUGUCCUGCAGUUUACAUCAACUCCUUCCAACCUUUUUUUUUUUUGUGUUACUGACAAAGGAACUGCUUCAACCAGCAAAACUUAAUAAUUAUAAAGGAAUUACAGUAUAUACUUUGUUUGCCUUGUGGCUGAGGAAAGUCCAUUUGCUGUCAUCAGCCAUUUUUGCAGGGAAUGCAGCUCCAAGUCUUGAAGGCUGUCCUGUCCAUGACAGGCACUGUUGGCUUUCAUCUCCAAACAUUGUGUAUAGAUAAAUAACUUAUCUUUGUAUAAGAGAAAUAACUUAUGAAACAGGAAAAUUCUGAAGUAGCCAGAAUAAGGUUGUGAGAUGGGAGGGUGUAGAAGUGUGAAGAAAUUAAUACAUUUUGGUGAAGAAGGAAUCCUUUCUAUAAGCUGAUCUAGAAAUACAGUGGUAUCCAAUAUAUUAACCUUGUCCCUUUCCUUACAGCCCCUGAUACACGGUUUAUAGUCAGAAGAGACAUGAGAUGAAGGCAAGGCUGGGAAAUCUCCUCUCUUGGAAGGGGGAUGUGGUUCUCCUGGAGCAGCAGUUGAUGCUCUGCACACCCAGCAUCUCCAGCCGUGGUGGGCAAUGGCCAUGGGAGAGCUCUCACUUGCGUGUCUGAGGUGACAAAGGGACACCACAGGGAAAAGUGGAAUAAAGAUGAUUGAGUUAGUCCUGAAUCCAAGUAUCAUGGCUGAUGAGCUAAAAAAAACCAAAAAACCAACCAAACAACAACAACAAAAAAACUAAGAAAAGAAAAGGAAAAAAAAAAAGAGAGAAAAAAACCUGUGGCUGUGUUCACUGCAAGUUUGUGGUCAGUAUUUCCCAGGCUGCCUCGAGGUGAGGCCUUCCAACAGACUGCUUGGAAAUCUCAGGACACGAGGACAUGUGAAUUCCUCCAUUUCCUUCACUGCCUCCCGAUCAGUGCCUUGCCUGGGAACCCUCAUCUGUGCCAUCCCCUGGCCUCGACUGUGGGUGCUCCCUGGACUCUGUACCUGAGGUGGUGUCGAUCUCCCCGUCCUGCUCCUUGUAGCUGUAGGUGCUGCACAUGGUCUGGGUGCCCGACUCGUUGGUGAGAAAGCCCUUCCCACCAAUGCUGGUGUUGUGCCAGUCUUGGGCUGGUACAAGCAGCUGGAAGAGAAGUAGAUGGUUAAAAACUUCUUCCUGCCACGGGUGCAAUGCCUGAUUCCUUGCCCUCAAUCAGAUGACAGAACCUGCUUCAUAUUCUCUUGUCACACACCACCACUGCCCUUAACUCCUCCCAUCCCAGACUCCUCACAGCCCUUCAUCUCUGAUGCUCUUCAACAACUGUAUGUUGGGAUCUCUGACACCAGCUCUGACACCUGCCCAGGACUCAACAGAGCAGAGCCCACUUGGCAUGGAAGGUGAUAGGAGGAAGAUGAUUUGCACCCCAGGGGAGGAACCACUCUGAUCUAUGCAUGUUAAUCACUUUUUCCCCACUGGGAAGCAGGGCUGCCUCCACUGUCACUGCUGGAGCAGUGGCAUUUCAGAGCCUUUCAGCCAUGAGCAGGUGGCAGCUCUUCCCCUCUGCACCCCGGCCAGUUUGGUAACUCCAAAUACCCAAAUCUAUCAGGUGGAGGUUGGUUUUUCUGCAAAACAACUGAUUUCUCCUGCUGCCUUGGGUACUCCUUCAUCCCUCUGCCUCCUGCAGACCAGUGAAAGAUUGGGGUAGGAAAAAAGCAAUGCCCACCUUCGGA